rnacentral:rRNA from 1 species
UGUUUCGGCUAGGGGGCCAUCCCGGCUUACCAACCCGAUGCAAACUGCGAAUACCGGAGAAUGUUAUCACGGGAGACACACGGCGGGUGCUAACGUCCGUCGUGAAGAGGGAAACAACCCAGACCGCCAGCUAAGGUCCCAAAGUCAUGGUUAAGUGGGAAACGAUGUGGGAAGGCCCAGACAGCCAGGAUGUUGGCUUAGAAGCAGCCAUCAUUUAAAGAAAGCGUAAUAGCUCACUGGUCGAGUCGGCCUGCGCGGAAGAUGUAACGGGGCUAAACCAUGCACCGAAGCUGCGGCAGCGAACGUAUCACUUAAAGCGAUUCAGCGGAUGACGAUUGACGGAGCGAAGCGACGUCAAAGCGUAUACAAAGUCGAGUCGGUUUAAGGAUACGUUCGUUGGGUAGGGGAGCGUUCUGUAAGCCUGCGAAGGUGGCCUGUGAGGGUUGCUGGAGGUAUCAGAAGUGCGAAUGCUGACAUAAGUAACGAUAAAGCGGGUGAAAAGCCCGCUCGCCGGAAGACCAAGGGUUCCUGUCCAACGUUAAUCGGGGCAGGGUGAGUCGACCCCUAAGGCGAGGCCGAAAGGCGUAGUCGAUGGGAAACGGGUUAAUAUUCCCGUACUUGGUGUUACUGCGAAGGGGGGACGGAGAAGGCUAUGUUGGCCGGGCGACGGUUGUCCCGGUUUAAGCGUGUAGGUGUGUGUUCCAGGUAAAUCCGGUU